AUGUUUGAGAAAGCGCGGUUCGGUGGGACUUUGUCUGCUGCAGCCAAGCCGAAUGUCAAUCUGACCAGGAGGCCUGUUGAGCGUCCCUCCAGCCCUGCCACUGUCCCGUCUGGGAGAAGCACUCCAUCCGCUACCCCACCUCGAGUGACGCCCCCUUCCAGUCCCAGCUUCUACUGGCCUGUCUCCCCUUUCUCUCUGCCUCCAUCCAGCCCUGUCAUGUCGGCGGUUGUAUCAGAUACGAGUCCUGCUCCUCCAGGUCUCCUCCCUGCUCCUCCUGGUCCCCUCCCUGCUCCUCCAGGUCUCCUCUCUGCUCCUCCUGGUCCCCUCCCUGCUCCUCCUGGUCCCCUCCCUGCUCCUCCUGGUCCCCUCCCUGCUCCUCCUGGUCCCCUCCCUGCUCCUCCUCUUGCUGCUCCAGAUCAGUUCUGGCUGCCGGUGGAAAUGAGGAAGACCAUUCCCCAGCAGGACCAGCGCUGGAUUGCGUCCACACUGUGGAGGAACCAGCGGCUGCGCCCGGACGUCCAGCUCUGGUAUGAGCCACCGGUUCCUGCCCUCAUCUACAACCAGGUCCCGUCACCAGACCGCUUUUUUAUGCACCCUGCCACUCCUCCGAGUCCCUGACCAAGGAGCAGUGGUUGGCGCAGAGGAGGAACAAAGAUCACCCGUGUUAAAUCUAUAUGUUAUAUGUUAAAAUAAACAUGUUUAUA
rnacentral:lncRNA from 1 species